ACACAGCACUAGACUAAUCGGCACAGCAAUGAAAACAUCGUUAAACCUGUAGAAGCAAACAAACUCCUCCCAGCGUCCACUUCGCCGGGUUCUCUUUGGACUUCAAGUUGAACGUCCACACUGCUAGAAUAGAGACACCCGCAUCUUUCGGGAGAAAAGAAAAUCGCCACCUGGAAGAACACCGGUGCGAGGAAAUGGAAUUGCUGCUACCCAAGAAAGACGGAAGUUCUAAGAAACUCAACGCAUCCUGCAACGCGUUCCGCCAGCCAAAAUUUGCAGGAAUGAAGAUGGAAACCUCCUGGAUAGCCUUGAGGUGAUUGAAAGGUAGAAGCUGCACUUUGAUGAGCAUCUGAAUGGCGUGGAGAAUCUAUAGUCAUAGCCAAUCCGGAGACGGCGGGUUCGAUUCCCUGGACAUUGUGUAUUAUUAUGCUUGCCUCACAAUAUACAAAUUCAUGCAAUGGCAGGCAAAGGAAGCCCUUCAAUUAAUAACUGUGGAAAUGCUCAAAGAACAAAGUUAAAGUUAAAGCGAGGCAGGCCAAGUCCAUGUGGGGACGUAGAGCCAUAAAGAAGAAGAAGAUGAUGGGACUGAUAUGUGAUUCACAGCAAAGUAGAGGACAGGAAUGAGCCACCUUACACGCUAAGUCAACGAUGCCAUUCACCAGCUCAAAACCAAAAAAGCAGCUGGUAAGGAUGGUUUUCUCCUGUGUAGGAUAUUACACAAGCACGUUUUCGAUUUCAAUCGGUUCUGAAUAAAUACCUACAGCACUCGGCACCUAGCGCCUAGUCAGUUGAAUAAGUGCAUCCAGAAAGUGAACUAUUGUUUCUCUCUUGUCCUGAAGAAGAUCUUGGUUGAAGGUCUCUGACCUCAGAUACUAAAAGUGACUACGAGGGAAAAAGGAUGGCGUAUGAAAGAAUAUUGAAAAUUGAUGAAGAAAGGAACAUUAAGUGAGUUCAACUGCGAUAAAUUCGGUAGUGCACAACAAAGGUUGUUUUAACAAAAGAGCAAGUGAAUGAAAAGGUUUUGGAAGCUGUUUUGCGAAUGAAAUUCUAGCUGCGAAGGCAGUGUAAUUUUAGAGGUCAUCUCUGUCAGUCGGAUGCAAAGGCAAUUUGAAGAAAGUGAAGAACCGUUUUAUGCAGCCUCGAGUGUGGCACACCGGUGACAGUAUUAUUUUAAUUUCUAAGACAUUUUAGUGAGCUGGCUUCAAAGGGAGAAAGCGAAAGCUGCUAGUGUACUAAGUGAAAUCCAGCGCAUAUUUGAAGGCUGCCAUUGCGUCGACCAUCAUUCAAAACGGUUCCGUUGCUAAAAUUGAUGGUAUUGUAGCUGACACAACGAUAGUAAGAACACUGUACGCUGCCAGUGUAGUGGUUGGCGCUUGAAGGCGAUGAGACGUGAGCCUUUAUACUGGUUAUCCUUUUUUCGGCACCUACCUAACCACCAUCAUCCAGUAGGUGCCUAUAGGUAGGCCAGUGCAAGAAAGGCGUGCAAGCAACGAUGACGGCGGAGAUGAUUGUAGGUGGCUACUUUUGCUGUUCCCAUUGUUUACCGCAGGAAAAGGUGGAACCCUGGAACAACAUCAUUGCGGUCCUACGGUUGUUGGCAAGGACGACGGUGACGUAAGGUAAGGUGUGGGAGAAAUUCUUGGCACUCUGGUGCGGCAGUGGGGCCAAUUUUCUUCAAUCAAUUUCCCAUGAACUUGACUAAUUUAUGUGUGGGAAUUUUCAGGAUUUUGUUGAGCUAGAGGUCCUUUUGCCACAAAUUUCAAUACUGGUUGCCUUAUUAAGAGGAAUCAAUUCCGGCAAUGCCAAAUAUUCGACCAACCGCAUGAUAAAGUACAACAAGCAAUGAAUUCCAUGGGGAUGUAAAAAUGGAACAAAAUCACC